CGCGGCCCUCGGGCCAACGGGAGCAGCCUGGACACCGGCAGGCAGCAAUGGGGAAAACGAAGGGAGCGCGGGGAGGAUCCUGCGGGACGGGACCGUGGGGAGCGCGAUCUUUUUCAGUUGCUUGGAAUGAAGAAAGUCUUUGCUUAAAAUUGCUGCAUUGCAACAUCGCUACUCCCAGCUAUUAAACAUCCCACGGCACGAAACACCGAGUCCACACAGGCCUACCUUAGCAAGUGUUCCAGUCAAGCACAACAUGAGUCAUCUUCUGAGCUUCAGCUGGAUGAUUUGUGAGGAAUUUGCAGCCAGGAAGAAAAUCUCAGAGAAUCAACUUAUGACCAAGGAUCACAAGCCACCAUCUUAGGAUGUGAAUUUCUUCUAAAGGAAGAAAAGCACGAUGCAGGGGCACCAGUGGAACCUUACCUUCAGGAAACCAGACAACCUGAGAAUGUCAGUAGAAUUUUGAAAGAAAUUAUUUUCAGGAAAGCAGGAAGGUCUUCACUGGAGACUUUCUAAAAGCUUUUUAUGGCAUAAUGGCAAGAGGCAUGUUAAGAUGUAGGCUUGCCAAACAUUUUUGAAAGACCUAUUCAGCCCUCAGUGAGAGUCCUUGCUUCUGAGAUGGGGUGAACUCACCAUGGGGCUGAAGGUCACCACAAGGCAGCACUGAUAGCUCUUUUGGAGGCCUUAUUAAUGGCAUGGCUUGCACAACAAAACUGUAGUUUUAAUUUUGUGGAAGAUACCAUGUAUUUACUCAUUGGUGAGAGCUGCAGUACUUUUCUCACACCAUAUUGCUGUGUCCUGCAUUGUCUUUCUGAUACAGUGUAAUCAGAUAAGAUAAUAGAUUUGUAAAACAGAUACACCAGUGAGCAUCACCCAUGUCAUGGUAGGAAUCUUGCAUCUACAUUCUGCAGCUGACAGCUAUUAAGUCUAAAGUCUUUUUAGUGUAGUUUUGGUAUAGGCAGAGGUGAAAUACAGAAUAAAGGCCUUAAAAUUUAGAUUACAAAGACUUAAGAAUUCACUUGGGAGUAUAAACUGCAGCAGCAACAAAGGAGCGGUUCAGUGCACAAAGGAAAAAUGAAGCAGUCUUAUGAGAGAAACUGAAGGAGGCAGAUGGCAAUUAGAUGUCAGUAAGCUCUCAUUAAAAGUGGAUGGUUUCCAGACUCAGUUAAGAGAAAACUCUUUGAAAACAUUUUUUGGAGCAGUAGAAAUAAAAAAGAAAUAUUAAAGCUCAUACAAGGUGGUUGUGUAUUACAAAAUAUUUUCUUUUCACUUUUAUUUGGGAAAAGAGUGAAAAAGUUAUAUGUGGAAUCUGUAGUUCCAUCACAUAACUCAGAUUUCUGCUGCUAUAGGCUUGCAAAACAGAUGUGU